ensembl:lncRNA
CUGUGGGUAGACAAGGACAGCUCCCAGUCAGGUGUUCUUUUUCCAGAGGUCAGUGGAAGUCCCGUUCUCUCAAGGCAGCAGCACACUGAGAAUCAUUGCUGUGCUUUUCAGAGCUACAGGAGCACUGUGCUGUGUCACUGCAUGCCCACAGGGAUCAGCUGUGCACACACACAGCUCUGAUCACCAGCAUGACAUGGAAGCUAAGGCUGGGUGGAUUAAGGAGCUGGCUUAUGGAUGGUGAAUGGAAGUCCCAUUAGCCAUCAGCAAGGUCCAGUCUGUGCAUGUGAAAUGGUGAGUUGCAAGAUGCUGCAAAAUUGGAAAGUGUUGCUCUGUAGUACCAGGGAACAUUAACAAGUGUAAUGGGUUUGCAUGACGCAAAUAGGGUGAAUGGCAGAAUGGAUUCAUGUCUUUUUGUUUUCUUUCCAGCUUGUUAUUAUCUCAAGGAAAAAAACACUAAUUACCAGAAGCUAAUAGCUAGUGUGUUACUUACCCUCUUAAUUAGUACCCUAAUUAUUAAGUGCAGUGAUAACCACUAGUUAGAGCAUAUUUACUCUUUAAGACUUUCUUGUUUAUCUGUCUUUCCACUCCCUCUUUUUAAUAUUGCUGACACCAGUGGAGCUGCUGCAGAGAGAAUACAGCAAAUUUCCCCUCGGGAAAGGCAGCAUUUUGAGCCCCCUCUGUGCUGCCACCACUUUUAUUCUGUUGUAAAUUGCUUUUCACUCAGAACUGUUGGCUUGUGUUCAGUUCUGACAUCAAGAAGUUAACAUCUGCAAUUGGAAAGAUGAACGCAAAGGAGCAGAAAAGGUCACCUCAGUGGCACGAGGCCUUGCUCAAAGCUUGCCACCUGGGGGGCAGGAGGGCUUCUGAAUGUGCUUGUUGGCCGCCCAGCUCCACAUCCUGAAGCAGCCAGUGAAAUACUCCCCAUCGCCUCUGUCUGAAGUCAUGAGGACACCGUGGGCUGUGUUUGCUGUAGUGCCCUGGUAAGCUUUGCUCACUGUCCUUUGGAGUAGGAGCCUGCACUGCAAGAGGAGGAGGUGGCUGAGCAGAGCUCGGAUGUUCUCAAGUGAAAUGGCAAGCAACUUCUUGUGGAUUCUUAGUAAAACAGACAUUUGAAUGGUAAAUUAAACCUAAAUACCUGCCAAAAUACUUGUAUUGAGGUGAUUGACUUUUAUGGGCCACUGCCAGAAGUUGGCAGAACAACUUUUUCAUGGAGUCUAAUGAACUCUCUCCAGGGAGCAGUACACUGUGGGCAGCUGAAGCCUGUGAGUUAAGAUGUGUCUCAGGGGAAGACAGGUCUCUUGGCUACAGAGCAGAGCCGGGUGACACCAGAAAACAUACUUAGCUGUAAAAUCUAAUGGAAGGAGCAAGACAUCCCUGCUCUCGGCCCUUGAUUCUUGGCAGUGUGGAUUACAAAAUGCUGCUUAGAGGAUGUGGAUUAGGAGAGAUGUUAACUACGUGUACUGUCACUGUUUCCAUUGCCUCAUUAUUACACACGGUGUUUCACACUGAUUUGACAUUGUCUCUGCCCUAAGGAGCUUGAAAUCUGAAGGCAAAACCCUGUGACCGUGUGAAAUGCAAGCAUUUCAAGGCAGGCACUGCAAAGGGGAUUUGUGGGACUGUGAACAAAUGCAUUCUAUUCAACAUAUCAAAGCAGGGAGCAGGCAGGGAGGCAGAGGUAAACACCAGGAGCAGAAGAGGAAGAUAACAGAAGAGCCCUAAUUGUUGCCAGCUUGAUUCCAGCCUCGUUCGCCCCAACAGAAUUCUCUGCAUCUUUGUCAGUGGAGGACUGUUCUACCCAGAGAGCUGGAGAGGAAGGAGACCAUUUCUUGCUGGGGCUUUGGCUCCCCAGCACAUGCCAUCAGCACUCCCUCUGCUCACUGAGCCCCAGCUCCUGUAUGCUGGUCACCAGAAAAAAAAAGCCAAAGCAAUGUAGGCCUACAUCAUGUGAGAUCCCAGCCAAUCGAAGAGUGUUACUUAAAUUUCGCUUCAACCUGCUCUAUCCCAUAGAGAAGUGGAGUUUGAGCUUCUGUGUGUGCUUCCUGCUUUCCACAAGAAAUGAGAGUUCCUGAGAAAAGGCAAGUGCCUUUGUUUGGCUUUGGAGUUUGGGUUUCGAAGAGACUCAGGUGUUCUGGUGAGAGCUGAAGGGUGCUUCGUGGCCUGACCCAGCAGGGCAGAACAGCAAGGAGUAAAGGAGGAAUAUGCUUCAUAAAAUCCUGCUUCCGAAAAUCCCAAAUGAUUGGUUUCUCCUGAAAAUGCAGUCUCUUUGCUAUCAUGAUCAACUGCUUGCUCAAGCACUGCUUCUACGCAUUCAAGGAAAAAAAUCUGUGCCUGCUAAAAGAUACUUAGAAAAGAACAGUGAAAGAGAAAGCACACCUACUGUCCACUUUAUGAAGUACAAGUACAUACCAAGUAUAUACUGAAACAUGGCUCAGCCUAACGUGGGUGAAAAACAGUUUCAAGUCACAACCAGCUGCCCAUUCCUGAUGCCUUGAGCCCUGGUUUCCCAACUGCC